UACGUAGGGGGCAAGCGUUGUCCGGAAUCAUUGGGCGUAAAGCGCGUGUAGGCGGCCAGAAAAGUCCGCUGUGAAAACUCGAGGCUCAACUUCGAGCUGUCGGUGGAAACUUUCUGGCUAGAGUCCGGAAGAGGAGAAUGGAAUUCCCGGUGUAGCGGUGAAAUGCGCAGAUAUCGGGAAGAACAUCGGUGGCGAAAGCGCUCUGCUGGACUGCAACUGACACUCAGGGACGAAAGCUAGGGGAGCGAAUGGG
rnacentral:rRNA from 1 species